rnacentral:rRNA from 1 species
UGAGUUUGAUCCUGGCUCAGGAUAAACGCUGGCGGCGUGCCUUACGCAUGCAAGUCGAACGAAGCCCGGCCUUCGGGUCGGUGACUGAGUGGCAAACGGCUGAGUAACGCGUAGGUGAUCUGUCCCGAGGAGGGGAACAACUCGUGGAAACGCGAGCUAAUGCCCCAUACGCCCACCGGUUCAGCCCGGUGGGGAAAUGUUCCGGCGCCUUGGGAGGAGCCUGCGUCCGAUUAGCUAGUUGGUGGGGUAACGGCCUACCAAGGCAGCGAUCGGUAGCUGGUCUGAGAGGAUGAUCAGCCAGACUGGGACUGAGACACGGCCCAGACUCCUACGGGAGGCAGCAGCGAGGAAUCUUGCACAAUGGGCGAAAGCCUGAUGCAGCAACGCCGCGUGGGUGAUGAAGGCCUUAGGGUUGUAAAUCCCUUUUGCCG